CCACCAGGAAUUGGGACGAUUCUUCCUCAACGGAACGUGCGAACCCGAGAAAACCCGAGAGCUACGGACAGCAAUUCCAAUAGCAAUUCAGCAUCAGAAGGAAUAGAAUCUUGAAGGAAGGAACUGAGGAGCUGACGAUGAACCGAGAUAACCAAGCGGCGCAGGAGGCUCGCUUGAAUGCGAAGGUAAACAACCGGAUGUGAUGAACAUGUGGGUGGAUUUAGACAGCUCGGAUGGAUACUCAAGGAACGAAGCGUUGGCAACUGUAUGAGGUGCUCCAACGUGAAGCUACUUUGGCGACAGUUUCUUAAACAGUCAGGGGAGUUGGAGCGUAAAUGAACUGCUUACUUACCUUACCGGUCAGGCUAAGGCCGGGGUGGCCGUUGCUGUACAUAGUAGCCGCCUCUAUUCCACUCGGUCCAUGGCUGUUUGCCUCCAGUUCCGCACUCUGCGUAGGGUCCGCAGAUCGUCCUCCACUUGGUCGACCCACCUAGCUCGCUGCGCUCCACGUCUUCUUGUACCGGUCGGAUGACUCUCGAGAACCAUUUAAGUCGGGUUGCUAUCCGACAUCCUGAUGACGUGACCCGCCCACCGUAGCCUCCCGAUUUUCGCGGUAUGGACGAACUGCUGUCGAAUGCAUUAUUUCCGUUUAGAUUCAGUGGCUACAGCUGGAGGUGCCAAUUUUCAAUAUUCCGCGCACUUGAAUUUCUGUUAGUGAUUAGUUAAAUUAGUCGGAUAGGGGUCAUCCAUCCAGGGAUCGCCACGCUCAGGGGGGGGGGGGGGGGGUGUUAAAGUAUGACAAGCAAUGUAUUAUGUAUAGGGCACUGCAUUGUUUUGAUUUUGUAUGGGAUUUUGAUGUUUCUUGGCCUUGUUGUUUACAAAAUUUCUAUAAGAUUGAAAGAGAAGGAGAGAAUAUCAUGCAGUGCCCUAUAGAAACAACCCGUAUAAAGAGGGGAGGGGUUGACAAUCCCCAAUUUUAGCGUGACAUACUUAAUGGAUGCUCCCUCCUACACGGUAUACUUAUAUCACAGACAAACAGACGUCUCACUCUACUUGCUCCUCAUCGUUAGCCUUUUUAACGGUUGGUUCAAAUAUUUUGUAGUUCGCAAAUCACUCGGUCACGGCGCGCGCAUUGUUUUUGCUCCUGCUUGACGUUCGCUCACUACCGCCACCUAUUGAACGGUUUGCGUAUCACAGCUUAAUUAGCAUUAAGCGAUUAUGUUUUCGUGACGAUGAUUUUUAUCGAAAUUUGUUCCAAGUGAUACGUCUGUUUGUCUGUGCUUAUAUGAUUUUUAUUCUACCCAAUAUUUUACCUAUGUUUGUUAUCAAUAUAUAAUCACUAAAUUGA